GAAUUUUAUGGAACCUUGUAUUCUGUUGAAUACCAGAAUUAUAUCAGCAAUCCCAAAGUCACCAAAUGGGCAUCAUCAUGACAGCAGACCGUGAUCAUGGGCUACAUUCUCCGUACCAGCUUCAUAGCUCCAGUGAGAAAAUAAAUUCCUGCAUCCAGGAGAUGUGGAGUAAGAGAUACAGCUGCCCUUGACCAUAUUUCUUACUUCCGAGAAGAUCGUAGCAGUAAUUCAGAUCAUUCAUCACCAAACUAUUCAGGAAAAACAAAAUCACCAAGUGGCAGGCCAUGAAGGAGAUGGAAGUAGAUGUGUCUAAGGAGAGACUCAUCUCUAGGUAGCAAGAGGGUCAAUGAGUUCUGAAUGCCCAGGGUUAAGAUAGGAAAGGUGAUAGACACAAAACUGUGCUACCGUGAUAUCCCUGGCAUAAAGAACAAACACAGUGCUGAGCACCGAGCUCCCAAACUCUACCACCAUAGCAUGGAAGUUAUGAUUUCUCACAAGACAGUAAACCACCUGUGACCACAUUGUACUGAGGCUGGAUUGGCCACUAGAAUUCUCAGAAAGAUGCUAUUGAAAACAUCUCAUUGUCUGACCACAUCAUGAGGCCUGAACCCAACCCCUCUCCACCCUGUACCCUGAAUGGAGAAUAAAGCUUAAAAGGUGCAUGACUCCUAUAUUUGAAAUUAGGGCUUUCUGUUCACUGAACUGAGCCCUCGUAGAAGCUGAAACUCUCAGUGCAAAUAUGCUCAACAUUCUAAAUUAUAAAUUAUGUGAGUUUCUUCUUCAUGCAGUACAGUCUUCAGGGAACACCAAGGCCUGUUUGAUUUUCCAAGUAUCAACAAGUGGAGUUGACAAGAGUGACAAGUGGUCAGAGCAAAGCAUUUCAUGAUGACUGUAACGUGCCUGUGUCAGCAGCGACUGCUUACAGUGAGAUUCACAUGACCAUCGUUUAUGACAUAGGAAGAAUAAAAGGAGAGAGAGAGAGAAAGAUAGGUAGUUGAUCAAAAUGAAGAAUUGGAUUUGGAAAGCAACUUCGAAUAGUCUCUGCUUAUAUUUCUGAGAUUAAGGCAAACAGUCUCAAGAAUCUCAUCCAGGAUACCUCAUCACAGGCUGGAGUGCAGUGUCAUGAGCUUGGCUCACUACAGCCUCCAUCUUCUGUGCUUAAGGAUCCUUCCCUCUCAACCUCCAAGGUAGCUGAGACUACAGGUAUGUGCCACCAUGCUGGACUAAUUUAUUGUUGUUGUUGUUGUUUGUUAGAUUUUUGGUAGAGGCAAGGUUUCACCAUGUUGCCCAGGCCAGAGUCAAACUCCUGGGCUCAAGUGAUAUUUAUUUUGUUAUAGAGAUGGGGUCUUAAUGUGGUGCCCAGGCUAGUCUGGGAUUACAGGUGUGAGCCACUGUGCCUUGCCAAAAACUGCCAUUCUCAUCAUAUCGUACCAAGAGUACAAACUCAACAAGGGUACAAACUGUCAACCAGAGUAGACAUUCAUUAUUGGCAGAAUGUCUACAAAUUCCUUUAAACCUUCACCAUAAACAUGUGCCUACUCUCUUCCAAUUAUUUCAUGUGUAUUAAUUUAUUCAUUUAUACAUGCAUCUUUUAUUUAUAUCAUUAUCUAAAUAUGGAGAUUUAUUUUACAAUGCGUAUGUGCUAUUUUUUUUUUUUUGAGACAGAGCCUUUCUCUGUUGCCCAGGCUGGAGUGCAAUGGUGCGAUCUCAGCUCAUCGCAACCUCUGCCCCCUGGGUUCAAGCGAUUCUAGUGCCUCAGUUUCCUGACUGGCUGGGAUUACAGGCAUGAGACACUACACCUGGCUAAGUUUUGUGUUUUUAGUAGAGACAGGGUUUCACCAUGUUGGCCAGGUUGGUCUUAAACUCCAUACCUCAGAUGAUCCACCCUCCUCGGCCUCCCAAAGUGCUGGGAUUACAGGCAUGAGCCACCAUGCUUGGCCGCUAUUUUUUUUUUUAAUUGCACAAAUUGUUCCAGUGUUGGCUAUUGGAAGGUUUUUAAGUUGUCUCUUGUAUCACUUUGAAAUACCUCCAUAAUUAAAGUUUGAUGUUGUGUGGUUGGUUGGUUUUGUUGUUGUUUGGCAUUUUCUUUUGUUCAGUCACUAUUAUAUGCUCCAGUCUAUGAAUUUAAUUGUGCUCCAGGGUAAUUUGGUAAUUUUAUAAUUUCUACGAAUGUUUCCAACACCAUAUGACCUAAUCCAGCACCAUAUAAAUGGAUCCACUCAUUCUCUCAUUUGUAUGUAAUCUAGCACUCCCUGCAAGCAAGUUGAUGUUGUUAAUUUAAUCAUGCUACCUGAACAAGGUAUAUUGCUAUGUAGAAAAAUACAAGUUGAAACAGUCAAAAUACUGUGUAAUUCCAUUCAUAUGACUCUGUAGAAAAGGAAAAAGUGUAGUGAUAGUAGAGUUCAGUGGUAACAAGGGGCUUGGGAGAGAUAUAGGUGACAUCAGUGAACUACCGAAGAUUUCUUUUGGGCAGUGAAAUUCCUCUUUGAUACUGUAACGGUGGAUACAUCAUAAUGUUUUCCAAAUCCUGAAGAACUUUGUAACACAAAGAGUGUAGCUAAUUUAUGCAAAUUAAAAACCUUAUUUAGGAGGUCACAAGUUUGCCUUUUCACAGUAUUUUACCUUUUCCAACUUAUAUUUUUUAGCAAUAUGCUUUUUAGAUUUUUGAAGUACACCUCAUGGUUUUUAGAUUUGCCUUCACCUAAUUGUUGUAGGACAGGUGAGUCACACAAUUGGGGCUUAUCCUGAGAGGGUUAUUAGCUUUGUCCAGGAAAGAAUUUAAGGGCAAGUGGGUGAUGUUAGACUGCAAUAUUUUAUUGAAUGGUACUGCUCCUAGCAGAGCAGGGCUAACUCUUAAGCAGUGUGUUCAGAGUUGGCAACAUAUAGGCCUCCUGGCAACUGUGUUUAUAUGCAAUCAAACCCACUUUUAAUUAUAUGCAAAUUGAGGGGCAGAUCAAUGCAAAUUGAGGCAGGAAAGGGGCAGUGACUUCUAGGUUGUCUCCAUGGAAAGGGGCAGUAACUUCUGAGCUGUAGCCAUGGAAUUUGUAAACAGUUAUGUGGUUGGUAGGAGUGUCAUAUGAGUGACAAAUGAAGACUGCCAGGGAUCACAUUUACCACAAUGUACACGCUUCUGUCAGUUUUUUCCCUUUAUCCUGUCUGGAGCAGAUCUUAUUUUGGUCAUCAAGGUUGUGAAACCAGAAAACAAGUCCUUCCAGUCUCCUACCUCAUAAUGACAAAAGACAUUGAGCAUAAUUUCAUGUGAUUUUGGAUAUGACUAUGGCUUUCUUUUGAGAGUUGGCUAUUUAAGAUUUUGCCAUUUUUGAUUGGGAUAUUUGCCUUUUUAAUUUUGAGUUGUAAGACAUUGUAUAUUCUGGAUAAUAGACCAUUAUCACCUAUAAAAUUUGCAAUUUUCACAUAUUUUCUGCCAUUCUUUGGGUGCCUCUUUAUAUUUGAUGGUGGACUUUAAAUUGCAAAAGAUUUUAAUUCUAAUGAAGUUUAAUAUUUCUAUAUUUUCUUCUUUCCUUUGUGCUUUUCAGUGUCAUAUCUUAAAACAUUGUUUAACCAGAGACCACAAAGAUGUAUUCCUGUGUUCCUUUUUAUGGGUUGGCCCUGUUUAGCUCUUAUAUUUAGAUGGAUUAUCAUUUUGAGUCAAUUAUGUUUCUGGUAUGAGGCAAGAGUCUAACUUGCAUGUGGAUAUCCACUUGACCCACAAACAUUUGACAAGAAAAUAUUGCUUCAUACCUAAUUUAUUUGGCCACAGUAUAAAAGCAUUUCACCAUAAAUGUAGGGAUUCAUUUUUCAGUAUUAUAUUCUCUACUCCAUUGAUCAAUACAUAUAUCCCUAUACUAGUACCACAAAUCUUGAUUACUAUUACUUUGUAGUAAGUUUUGCAAUCAAGAAGCAUAUGUCUACUAUGCAAACCCUUUUUGUCCUUCUCAAGAGUGUUUUGGCUGCUCAUGAUCUAUAUUAUAUAUAAUUUUAGGAUAAACUUCUGAAUUUAGGGGAAGGUAAUGCCACCUGGUGUUUUGAGAGAAGUUGCAUUAAUUCUAUAGAUCCAUUUGGAAAAUAUUGCCAACCUAACAAUAUGCAUUCUGUAGUUUUUAGUGUACAUAUCUUAUACUUAAUUUGAUAAGGUUAUUCCUAAGUAUUUUUGAUGUGAUCUUAAUUGGAACGAUUUUCUGAGUUUUGUUUUUAGAUUGUUAAUUGCUAGUAUAGAGAAAUUUAAAAUAUUUUAUAUAUUUUAUAUGCUGCAAACUUCUUUGAACUCAUCUUUAAAUUCUAAACAUAUUUGAUAGAGUCCUUUGGACUUUUUAUACAUGAGAUCAUGUCAUUUGCAAACAGUCGGAGUUUGACUUCCUUUCCAUACUAGAAACGUUAUAUUUAUUUUUCUAAAUGAAUUGCCCUGUCUACAUUCUCCAGUACAAUGUUGCGAACAAGUGUCAACAGUGGAAAUAUUUGACUUCUUUCUAAUAUCAGAGAAAUUAGUGAACCUUUCAGAUUACUUAUGAUGAUAUGUGAGCUUUUCAUAGAUGCCCUUUGAAAUGAAGAAAGUUCUCUUAUCUGCCUAAUUUGCUGCAUGUUUUUAUAAUACUGAAUCUGGGAAUUUUCAAGUGCUUGUUGCACACCUUCUGAGACGAUUGUGUAGUUUUUAUUCUUUAUUAAUAUAGUGUAUGACAUUAAUUGUAUCAUAUGUUGAACCAAAUUUGCAUUCCUGAGGUAAAUACCUUUUGCCAUAGUUUAUAAUACUUUCUACAUGUUGCUGAUUUCAUUUGAUAAUAUCUCGCUGCUGAUUUUUGUCUCUGUAUUUAUAAGGCAUAUUGGUCUUCAUUCUCCUUAUUUGAAAUGUCUUUGUGUAGUUGUUCAAUCAGGGUAAACUAAUUCAUAGUAUACAAUGGGAAGUGAUCUAUUUUCUACUUCUUUAUUAUUAUUGUAUUGUUUUGAAAUAUUUUUGAUAAAUUAGUAUUAAUUUUAAGUGAUUUUAAUAACACAUCAAUGAGUUCCUGAUGAGGGCAGGGAGGUGAAUCCUAAGAACAAUCAUGUGAGUUUGGAAGGAGACCCUUCCCCAGCUGAGCCUCAGCCUGAGCCAUCCCCUACAUCUAGACCGAAGACCCAGAGAAACCGUGAGUAGUAUGUGUGUGGUUCUGAGCCACUAAGGUAUGUAGUAAUUUGUUAUGCACCAAGUAGUAAGUAAUAUACCUGACAGUAAUUGUUAGGUGGUAUUCUGGAUUAGGUCCUGGAAUAGAUAAGUAUAUGAUUAUUAGAAAACCUGGUAAAAUAUGAAGGAAGUUUGUAGAUCAGUUAAUAGUCUUGAAAAACAGUUAAAUUCUUAGUUUUCAUGAAUAUGCUAUGGUUACAAUAUAUAUUAACAUUCUAGUUAUCUGAAUGGUAUAUGAAACUGUCUGUACUUACCUAUGUGCAUUUAUGUAAAUCUGCAGUUAUUUCAAAAUAAAUAUGUUUUUUAAUAUUAUUAUUAUUUUUUUAAGAAAAGUAAGCAAGUAAAGACAUCAGCAAAAAACUUUUGCCUCCAGAUACAAGUGGGCAUGUAGGGAGAGAAUAGUAAACUGGCUUUUCUUUUCUUUUCUAGGCAACAUUCGAAACCCAGGUGCCACUCCUUCAGGAAGGUACCAUCAAGCUCCAAGGACUCAUCCUCUUUCUCCUUCCCCACUACCUAGUCAUUAGAGCGUCAGCAUCCACUUCCUGAAAGGAAGAUGCCUGUUUUUCACAUAUCCCAGAAAGCCUCAUUUUAGGACAGCAUUUAGCAGAGUGUAUUCAGGAUCCCACUAACCUUUUCGGAAGACAUGACUUCCAGAUGAUAUAAGGCAAGAAUAAGAAAUUUCAGUGACAGGGAACAGAAAUCAUAUUUCUGCAUUCAGGAUCAUGUUUUCUUGGCUCCAUCAGGAACUGUGCAGGACUGUGCACUCUGUUGAUACUCACAUGGUGGAAUUAUAUUGCCCUUGGCCAACCCUAAAGCCAUCAAGAUAGCAGGUUUGGAAUAAUUCACUGUCGAAGUCUUCUUGAGCUGAGCAGUCAUGUGAGCUUGGAAGAUGAUCCCUCUCCAGCUGAUCCUUCAGCUCAGGCCAUCAUCUACAUCUGGAUUCCUGACCCGGAGAAACUAUGAGUAAUGUGUGCUGCUUUUGAGCCACUAAGCUACAUGAAUUAAUGAAGGAUCAUUAUUAAGUUUUUAAUGGGUCAAGAGAAAGUUACCACUGAGGUCUUCUCUACCUGGGCAACAAUUGACUCCUAACAACCACUAUAAGCUUGGAAGAUGAUCCCUCCCCAGCUGAUCCUUCAGUUCACAUGAAGCAUUUGGAAGUAAACACACGAUGGACUGAACACUUUGCUGCUUAGAAACUUCUUCUUCCAGAUUCCCUAGUUCAUCAUUAAGUAGUUAGGCCUCUCACAAAGCCCUUGGUCACGGAUACAGGUCAGCCGUUCUUUACCCAAUCAAAACAGGGAUGGCCUUUACUGCAGUUACUAAUAUCUUGUUUUUUAGUUUCAUCUGACAUUUUGUCAGAAUGGCCCUUAUGUCAGUAUUUCUAUCAGCAGUGAGGACUAAACUCUGAUUUUUUUAUCUUGCCCAAAUUCCUAUCUAAAAGGUCUGGGGAGUCAUGCCCUACAAAUGAUAAAUUCUCAUCAGAUGGGUUUUAUUUGACCCUGUAUAUCGUGACUUACUUUCCAACCUGACUGUGGCAUAACAUUACAAAAGAAGGAAGAAAAUCAAAAUAUUUUACUCCAAAAACAUGUUUCUUUGUUGCAUUUUGAAAUGGUCCUGCAAGCCAUCCUUUGUGGAGGAAAAUUCACGUCUGUAAAGAAUCUCUAUUAGCCUCUAUAUCUAUAGAGGUUAAUAUAUAUCUAUAUGUUAGCCUCUAUAUAUAUAAUAUAAUAUAAUCUAUAUCUAUAACCUCUAUAUCUAUAUCUGUAAAGAAUCUCUAUUAACCUCUAUAUCGAGGUAUAAUCUCUAUACCUCGACCUUUGUCUGUCAGGCCCUUCCAAUUCUGAAUAGAUUAGGUAAGAGUGUAGCACCUUUUAAAGUCUGAAUAGGCAACAUUUGUCAUCUAUUAUCUCUAAGUGCAAUGGCUAUGAGACUUCAAAAGAACCUUGGUCUCCAAAGUCUUUUGUCUUAACCUGAACAUUUCCUUUCUAUUGAUCCCAG
rnacentral:lncRNA from 1 species